UUGGGCCACAAGCCCAAUAUCUUACCAAGAAAAAAACGAAUCCGCUCCAGUCAGAUGAAAUACCUAACAAUUCUUCGUUUAAACCAGCACGUGGAGACAGCAGCGGAAUGUUGAGGGCGGUAACGAGAAAUCUUUCCCGUCGGCGCCGGAGAACCUCUUUCUGUGACAACCGCAAGCUAUCAUGAUGUCACGCUUCGUUCACCGUCUGAAUAGCUACGUUGAAACCUCGAAUUCGCGUCCAACAUUUGACACGGUGGCUCCCGGUGAGAUGUUUCAAUCUCCUCCUUCCGUCGUAUUAUUCAGAUUUCUAAAUCUGCUUCUCUUCUCGAUCCACGUCUGAGCUUUCCUUUGUCAAUCUCUUGUUUGGGAUUUUGAAAGAUCCAGCUCGUGAAUUGUGACGUCGUUGUGAGAUUUAUAAUGAGUUGUUAUGGCUGGUGAUUGAGAGAUUGAAGCUGUUGAGAGAGAGUGAAAUCAGAAUUUUGCAGGUUGAACAAGUAGAUUGAAACGAGAGCUUGAGAAAGAAAUGCAGGGAGUGGCGGUGGUGAGACAAGGUAAUGGUGAUGGUGGUUUGGGGACUUGUGGUGGUUCAAUGCCGAUGGCGGUGCCGCGGUGGUUAUGGAAGAUCGAGGCGGUUAGGGAAAGAAACUGAUUGAAGAAGAUGAUGAAGUUUUGUGUGAAGCUUUUCCUGUGUUUUCACAUCUUUGGUUUGAUGAAGCUUUCGUACAGCCUGGACCUUGCCGUUUCGGUUGCAGUUUGGAUCGUUGUACUGCGCUUGGCUUUUGGCAGUUGCUUGCGAUUUUCUUUGGCAACAGCUGGUGUGUCACUGCCUAGAGUUGCGCUUCCGGCGUGUGUUCGCUUAUGCAUUUGGAUUUGUUUUGCUGCAUUUAGCAGAUGUUGUUGUUACGGCGAUGCCUCCGUUUGGUUGGCUUGGAUGUAGCUCGUGUUAGCCGUAGCUUAUUUUCCAUUGCGUCCUUUUUUUAGCAGCUUUUUACAUUGUUUUUUUUUUCAAUUUAUUUUUAUUAUUCUUUAAUGUAUAUUAAUAAAAUGUAAAGUGGAUAUUUAAUGAUAUUUGGAUGAUGGUUCCUAAUGUAAUGGAUUUGGUUAA